ensembl:lncRNA
CGGCACUAAGACUAACUGCUGAGUGUCUCCGCGACUCCGCUCCGUCUUUGCUGAAACGCCGUCGCGCACACGCCCGCCCGUCCGACCGGGGCGUCCCGGAGACGUGGACGGGCUUUGACAGGGUUUGCCACGGGGCCACUGAGGCGUCGCGCGGUAGCAAUAGCAGGGAGGAGGAAGUGGAGGAAAUCGAUGGCAGAGGCUGGGCGAGCCGAGCUCUUAGGCACCGCAUCGCGCUGCACACUGCCGGAGAAAAUCAAAUGUGGGUGCGCUGGACCGCACUGACUCCGGGUGAACUGGUGCGGAGAGAGGACCUGACCCCGGCGGAGAGCAUACUGUGUGAUGAGGCUAUUCUUUAUGUCAGCCGGAGAGGCAGAGACAGACAGGUGGACUGACAGACAGACAGACAGAAAGGGGGAGGGAGACGGGGUCCUAGCGCUCGCUGUCUACUCGUUUCACAUCUCCGAAUAUUGCAACUAGACAGUGGCAACCGGAGGACCGACACACAGACAGAUGGACAGACAGAGGGAGAGAGUCAGCCCCCCUACAGCCCUCCUUAACAAGGAAGCCUAUUCUGAGAGGAGAAGGAUGAAUUGCAUCCUCACAAGGGCCAGGGGCUCCUACAUCCUUUCAUGCUGUGUUGAAAGGGCCUUAAAAUAUUCAUAAACAUCCAAUUGAAAGGAGACCUCCAAGUCAUUACCGCCACACCAACCACAGGGACGGCCCUUAUGGCGGCGGCGAGGCAGACAUGCAGAGAGUCAAGGAGGGCUGUGCGCUGGUACAAUAGGGGCCUCCACCUGCUGCAUAUCCAGCAGAAGUACAGAAAUAAGUGGCCCACGGCUGAAACUCUGCAUUUAUCUAUUUCCCCGAUAUGCACUGCAUAGGCUUGCUGUUGAAUUCUCACACACGAGUUGAGGUCAGAGAAGACAGACACACACACACAUACAGACGCACAGAUGCACGCAUGCAAAGAACAACAGACACUGAUACAGACACACACACACACACACACACACACACACACACACACACACACACACACACACACACACACACACACACACACACACACACACACACACACACACACACAGACACACACACACACACACACCGCCCCCGGAAUCAGCUGCUAAGCUCGGGGGUCUCUGUGGGUCAGCCGGCGUGUGAACCGGGCUGAUUGGAGAAAUGUGAUUACGGGGACUUGAGGAGAAAGCCGACCCUGGAGCAGCAGAGGGGCCAUCGCAAGGUGUUAGGGGUCCGCGGGAGGGGAGGCACACCUGGCCGUGUGAUUUGGAGCCCUCACCUGCCGUCUGGCGACCGGAGGCGGGGCGGUCGCUCGUUGAUACAUUACGAGAGACGCUCGAAGUCGGAUGAAAAGUGUGUGUGGAGUGAGGUGCAGUGUGUGACGAUGCUGCUGGUUUGGCUGAAGCUCUGAAAGCAUCCGAAAAUCAGCAUCCUGAAAAUCCUUCUAGAUUGGGGAAUUUAAAUACACAGUUUUAUGUAAUAUAACUGAAAUGCACUUAUUCUAUGAUAAAACAACAGGAUUUUAUAAACAAAUUGGGGGAAGUACAAUCAUGUAUUGGGCUCUUGGUUCAUACGAUGAUGUUACCGUGUGUGUGUACGUGAGCAAUGAGCCUCUUAUCGUCGGGUCACGGUGUUCUGUGUGUCACAGGAUCAGAUAAGAGUGUACACUGCAGAGAUUUUGCUGAGGCAGACAAUGCUAAAUAUAUCUCACUACACCUAUAUACACCGCGUUACACGGGGCCAGUUUUAUGUGCUUGCAUGUGUGGGGGUGACUUUGUUUGGACCCCCUUGCGGUGACCCGCGACGCCUGAUGCACAUCGCGUGCCGGGGAAGUCCGUGAAGCGUUUCGGUGCCUCGUUUGCUCUCUGUUGUGCAGUGUAGUAAACCUUCAGGCCUGAGCUCUAACAAGGAGGCUAUCGUCUCCUGUGGAAGUCCCGUGCGUCCACGUUUUGCCGGUAAUUUAUGUGACACCGCGGCUAAUCUGAACGCUCCGUCUGAUUCCGGCACGCUAUCUGUUAGAACGGAGCAUGUGUUCAGGAGAUGCUACCGCGGUGGCGGCGGCGUGUUAGCGCUGGCAUGCUAAAUAAAUCGCCGCCCUUUGCACGCGCGUGAGAUGGAUGAUAGUGCUUUCACGGUGUGGGAAAUCAACCGCAUUAACAACAAGCAGAGGCCAGCUGAUCUACAGCAUUCCCUGAUCCCUGGGAGAAUGAAACGGAGGCAAUUCCGGAGCGCACGGCGGGCCCGGCCUCUGCCGGGGAUACAUGGCUUAUAAAUAGCGUUCAUCUGGGGCUAUGAUGGUCGUUAUUGCUGGGCUGGCAUUAGGCAAGUGCUGCGUGGAUGCUAACGGUAGCGUGUAUGAGCACAGGCACAUGGUGAGUGUGUUUGAGGCGGUGCUGUGUACUCUGUGAGGGGAGGGAGGGAGGGAGUAUGGAGAGAGAGAGAGAGAGAGAGAGAGAGAGAGAGAGAGAGAGAGAGAGAGAGAGAGAGAGAGAGAGAGAGAGAGAGAGAGAGAGAGAGAGAGAGAGAGAGAGAGACUGCCAGCUGACAAAAAGCUGUAUGUAUGACUCCUAAGGUGUGCUGGGUCUUGCAACAACAUUAUGACAGCUGGCAGCUGAAAUCUAGGGUAAACUCCAUUUCUCCACAAUAUAAUUACCUCAUUCAGAGGUUUCUCAUGGCACGGGACAAACUAAAGCGGGGGAUGGUUUCAGCUCUGAAGGCUCUUUGGUUAGCUCGUGUUACCACCACCGCCAGGCGGCAUGUCACCAAACCUUUAACACGUCAAAACCCGGUCUUUGUAUGCUGCCCUGCGGUCCCGUCGAGGGAAAUCUCGCAGUAACACGACAUGUCCGGUUCCCACUCAGCCUCCAAGAACUCAACACGGAUUAUAAAUCAAAAGCGUAAUACGUUUACCAACAGGUUCACUAAAACUGAGACACCUUGCUGAGAGGGAAGAGGCAACUCCCUCUCUCUCGCUUGUCUUAAUGCUUCAGCGGCUGCUUCCGGUAAACCACCGAAGAAGAACCACUCCCACGUCCAGCCACCCAGUCGUC